GACGAACCGUGCGAACGUUGUUCGGAAUCACUGGGCUUAAAGGGCGCGUAGGCGGGCUGCCAAGUCCGUAGGUGAAAUCCCCCGGCUCAACCGGGGAACGGCCUCGGAUACUGGCGGCCUGGAGGGGGGUAGGGGCGUGCGGAACUGUGGGUGGAGCGGUGAAAUGCGUUGAGAUCCACAGGAACUCCGGUGGCGAAGGCGGCACGCUGGACCAUUUCUGACGCUGAGGCGCGAAAGCCAGGGGAGCGAACGGG
rnacentral:rRNA from 1 species